rnacentral:rRNA from 1 species
CAUAAAGUGCGUCGUAGUCCGGAUUGGAGUCUGCAACUCGACUCCAUGAAGUCGGAAUCGCUAGUAAUCGUGGAUCAGAAUGCCACGGUGAAUACGUUCCCGGGCCUUGUACACACCGCCCGUCACACCAUGGGAGUGGGUUGCAAAAGAAGUAGGUAGCUUAACCUUCGGGGGGGCGCUUACCACUUUGUGAUUCAUGACUGGGGUGAAGUCGUAACAAGGUAACCGUAGGGGAACCUGCGGUUGGAUCACCUCCUUA